GCUCAGAAUGCAUUUACUCCGUAUGAUAAAUUCUGCCCCUUCUACAAGUCGGUCUGGAUGAUGCGUAAUAUCAUUCAUUUCUACAAUUUGGCUAAUCAGGCAGUAGAGAGGGGAGCGGGUAUGGAUGGCCAAAAGAUAACAUACAGUUUGAUUAAGCAUCGGUUGGGAGAUCUGUUCUAUCGCCUGGUGUCUCAGAAGUUCGAGGAUCCAGCUGAAGGAGAAGCAGCUCUCACUGAAAAAUUUAAGAAGCUACAUGAAGAUCUGACAAAUGGUUUCCGUGCUCUCGAGGACGAAACCCGGUAGAUGUAAAAGAUUUGCCGACUUUGUGCCAGGUCUGGGGCUUUUUCCUCCUUUUGAUUUUGUAGAAUAUUAUGAUGUAUUAUGGUUGGUUUGGGUUGCGGUCGCAACUUUUGGUUAGCUAUUAUUUAAUAAUGUGUAUUAUUUUUCCCCCUCAAGCUUUCCGGGUUCGUAUUUGGCGUUCAGAACUGAGAUUCUUAUAUUCCCUUAUUUAUCUUACAAUAUCUGUG
rnacentral:misc_RNA from 1 species